rnacentral:lncRNA from 1 species
CAUGACAUGGGACGUCAGAGGCAUUCUGGCAUAUCCUGGCUAUAUUGUAAACUUGAGUCUUCUUGUAACCAAACUGCCGAAGGAAAUCUAUGCAAUGAUUUCCUUCUGCAUUUUUCCCACACGAAGCGAUUCAAUAAUGGCUGCCCUCCAAUCAUAUUCACAACUUGUUGAAGUAGAAGUCACUAUUUUAUCAAUUAUUAAUUACUUCCAUGUUGAUUGAAAUUAUAACCAAAUCAUAACCCAUGCAUAAUUUGCCAGAAAUUCUGCCUAAAAAAAUUCCGGAUUUACCUCGACGACCCUGUAGAUUAAUUGAUCAAUGAUG